UACCAGCACCCCGAGUGGUCGGGACGAUUAUUGGGCCUAAAGCAUCCGUAGCCGGUUCUACAAGUCUUCCGUUAAAUCCACCUGCUCAACAGAUGGGCUGCGGAGGAUACUAUAGAGCUAGGAGGCGGGAGAGGCAAGCGGUACUUAGUGGGUAGGGGUAAAAUCCGUUGAUCCAUUGAAGACCACCAGUGGCGAAGGCGGCAUCCUGGACCGAGAUUGACACUGAGGAGCGAAAGCCAGGGGAGCAAACGGG
rnacentral:rRNA from 1 species